CCUACGGGUGGCAGCAGUGGGGAAUAUUGGGCAAUGGACGCAAGUCUGACCCAGCAACGCCGCGUGAAGGAAGAAGGUACAGCGUAUCGUAAACCUCUUUUGUCAGGGAACAAAGGCGGGGACUAGUCCCCGGAUGAGGGUACCUGAAGAAAAAGCAUCGGCUAACUCCGUGCCAGCAGCCGCGGUAAUACGGAGGAUGCGAGCGUUAUCCGGAUUUAUUGGGUUUAAAGGGUGCGCAGGCGGACUGUUAAGUCAGCGGUAAAAGCCCGGGGCUCAACCCCGGCGAGCCGUUGAAACUGGCGGGCUGGAGUUGGAGAGAGGUACGCGGAAUGCGCGGUGUAGCGGUGAAAUGCUUAGAUAGCGCGCAGAACCCCGAUUGCGAAGGCAGCGUACCGGCUCCACACUGACGCUGAGGCACGAAAGCGUGGGUAUCGAACAGGAUUAGAUACCCGAGUAGUC
rnacentral:rRNA from 1 species